rnacentral:rRNA from 1 species
UACGUAGGGUGCAAGCGUUAAUCGGAAUUACUGGGCGUAAAGCGUGCGCAGGCGGUUGUGUAAGACAGAUGUGAAAUCCCCGGGCUCAACCUGGGAACUGCAUUUGUGACUGCACAGCUGGAGUGCGGCAGAGGGGGGAUGGAAUUCCGCGUGUAGCAGUGAAAUGCGUAGAUAUGCGGAGGAACACCGAUGGCGAAGGCAGCCCCCCUGGGGCUGACACUGACGCCUCAGGCACGAAAGCGUGGGGGAGCAAACAGG